rnacentral:rRNA from 1 species
GAUGAACGCUGGCGGCGUGCCUAACACAUGCAAGUCGAGCGAACAGACGAGGAUUUUGCUUGUCUGACGUUAGGGGCGGGCGAGUGAUUCACACGUGUAUAACCUACCGAUGAGACUGAGAUAACUUCGCGAAAGCUGAUCCAACACCCGAUAAUAUGUUGAACCUCGGGGUUCAAUAGACAAAAACGUUUUUGCUGAGCCUUAUACAUGUUACCUGGCCGGAUGAGUUAGUUGGUAGGGUAACGGCGUACCAAGGCGACGAUGCGUAGCCGACCAGAGAGGAUGAUCGGCCACACUGGAACUGAGACACGGUCCAGACUCCUACGGGAGGCAGCAGUAGGGAAUCUUGCGCAAUGGGCGAAAGCCUGACGCAGCAACGCCGCGUGUGUGAUGAAGGUCUUCGGAUUGUAAAGCUCUGUUAUUAGGGAAGAACAACUGUGUGAGAAAACAUGGCCGUCUUGACGGUACCUACAGAAAAAGCACCGGCUAACUACGUG